rnacentral:lncRNA from 1 species
AGGCUCGGCGUUGGCCUCCGCGGCCCGUGCGAGUGCGCCCUUCUCGGGUCCCCUAGGUCGCGGGGCAGCCGGGGCGGAAGGGGCUUGUUCAUUAUUUUGAGAGUUUGUUGUGAACGUCAUAACCUUUCGUCCUUAAAUAUUGCCGAUACUUGACCUACGCAAGAGACAAUGUCAUGUGAUUCAGCCUAAUAUCUCAGAGGAUGCAGCAUUCAAGGUUCUAUCUUGGAAGCAGAGACUGUGCCCUCACCAGAUGCUGAACCUGCUGAGCACCCUGAUCUUCCACUUCACCUUCAUCAGAACUACUGCUGUGAUUGCACCUGCCAUCUUAUGCAGAAAUGACCUGAAGACAGACUGAAACAACGUGUUCUACAGCCUGAAAAUAUCUACCUUGACUUACAGUUUUAUUAAUGCUGGUGUGAUCAGACUGGACAAAAAUUAGCAUAUGUUAUUAACUGAUCUAAUUCAAGUGCCAAUUCUUAAUAGAAACACAAAACAAUAAAAGCAAUUCAGAAAAUA